rnacentral:rRNA from 1 species
UACGGGGGGGGGCAAGCGUUUGUUCGGAAUUACUGGGCGUAAAGGGCUCGUAGGCGGCCAACUAAGUCAGACGUGAAAUCCCUCGGCUUAACCGGGGAACUGCGUCUGAUACUGGAUGGCUUGAGUUCGGGAGAGGGAUGCGGAAUUCCAGGUGUAGCGGUGAAAUGCGUAGAUAUCUGGAGGAACACCGGUGGCGAAGGCGGCAUCCUGGACCGACACUGACACUGAGGAGCGAAAGCCAGGGGAGCAAACGGGAUUAGAGUACC